rnacentral:rRNA from 1 species
GACAGAGGCCCCAAGCGUUAGGCGGAAUCACUGGGCUUAAAGCGUGUGUAGGCGGAUCGUUAAGUGUCUUGUGAAAUCCCACGGCUCACCCGUGGAACUGCUGGGCAUACUGGCGAUCUUGGGCCAACUAGGGGCAACUGGAACAAGCGGUGGAGCGGUGAAAUGCGUAGAUAUCGCUUGGAUCGCCAACGGUGAAAACAGGUUGCUGGGGUUGUGCCGACGCUGAGACACGAAAGCCAGGGGAGCAAACGGG